rnacentral:rRNA from 1 species
CCUACGGGUGGCUGCAGUGGGGAAUAUUGCACAAUGGGCGCAAGCCUGAUGCAGCCAUGCCGCGUGUGUGAAGAAGGCCUUCGGGUUGUAAAGCACUUUCAGCGGGGAGGAAGGCGUUAAGGUUAAUAACCUUGUCGAUUGACGUUACCCGCAGAAGAAGCACCGGCUAACUCCGUGCCAGCAGCCGCGAUAAUACGGAGGGUGCAAGCGUUAAUCGGAAUUACUGGGCGUAAAGCGCACGCAGGCGGUCUGUCAAGUCGGAUGUGAAAUCCCCGGGCUCAACCUGGGAACUGCAUUCGAAACUGGCAGGCUAGAGUCUUGUAGAGGGGGGUAGAAUUCCAGGUGUAGCGGUGAAAUGCGUAGAGAUCUGGAGGAAUACCGGUGGCGAAGGCGGCCCCCUGGACAAAGACUGACGCUCAGGUGCGAAAGCGUGGGGAGCAAACAGGAUUAGAUACCCGUGUAGUC